GUCUAUGGCCAUGCCACCCUGAACAAGCCUGAUUCCAUCUGAUCUCGGAAGUUAAGCAGAGUCGGGCCUGGUUAGUACUUGGAUGGGAGACCAGCUAGGAAGACCAGGUGUUGUAGGCG
rnacentral:rRNA from 1 species